CUCCAUUACUCGACACACGCCUCGAAGCCUCGGCACGUCUCGUAACAUCGCUAAUAAACAGUUUAUCUGUAAAUCAACGUCAAAAAGAAAACCCAGCGCUAUAUGCAAAUUCUGCAACGCAACGCUCACUGAGGCGGCUGGAACCACAUCGAACUUUUACCGACACUUGGAGAGGAAGCAUAAAGAAAGACAAACACCUGAAUGAUCCCCAAGAGUUCUGGGAGAAUAUCCUCCGGAAUGAUGGACAGAACAUUUUGGAAGGACAAUGACCCCAAACACACCUCCAGACUGUGGAAGGACUAUCUGACCUAGAAGGAGACUGAUGGAGUGCUGCUUAUGUCAGAUGAUCUGGCCUCCACAGUCACCUGACCUAAACCCAAUCCAGACGGUUUGGGAUGAGAUGGACCACAGAGUGAAGGUAAAAGAGCCAACAAGUGCUCAGCAUCUCUGGGAACUCCUUCAAGACUGUUGGAGAACCAUUUCAGGUUCUACCUCAUGAAGCUCAUCUGGAGAAUGCCAAGAGUGUGUAAAGCAGUAAUCAAAGCAAAGGGUGGCUAUUUUGAAGAUUCUAAAAUAUAAAACAUGUUUUGACUUAUUUCACACUUUUUUGUUCACUACAUAAUUACUUCACUAAAGAAAGGCGGAGUUAUGUGGCGAUCGGCAUACAUUUGUCCGUCUGUCUGUGAGCAACAUUACUCAAAAACAGACUAAUGGAUUUAGAUGAAAUUUUCAUGGAAGGCCAGAAAUGACACAAGGACCAAGUGAUUAGAUUUUGGCAGUGAUGCAGCUUAUAGUCUGGAUCCACAGAUUUGUUAAAUAUUUCUGUAUCAGUGCGAGAUAGCAGCACGGCGUCACUGUAACCAUGACAAGUGAACACUACAUCAGCUGCCUGCUGAUGAUCACAUGACUGCGAUCCUACUACAAAUCCACCACUGUGGACUUAUCGUGACUUAUCCGACAAAUAAAGCAAAAAUUACAAAAAAAACCCCAAAAACACUAAAAGGAAAAACAAAAUGACCAAAACAAGAAACAAAAUGACAAAAACAUCAGACAAAUGACAAAAGUUAGAAAAAUAAGACAGAAAACAAAAAAACGAGAAAAUACUACAAAAAUGAGACAUAAAAGACAAAAGCGAGAAACAAAAUGAGACAAACGACAAGAAACAAAACAAAAAAAAGACAAAAAAUUUGACAAAAAAAUGACAAAAGCGAGAAACAAAAAGACAAAAAACAGACUAACAACACAAGUGAGACAAAAAACACAAAAACACAAAAACAAUACACAAAACAACAACAAGUUUCAUCAGUUCCUGCCACCCGCUACAUAUUUAGGUCACGCGAUUCAGUAUCUGUACAUAACGUAGACAUGCAUAACACACGUCUGUGCUCAGCGCAAGAUCAUUUUGUUUGUGGGUGCACCUAUAUUAAAUGUUCACAUUCUAUGUUGCCGUGAUUUCUGCCACAGGUUUUAUUAAGAUUUCAGCCGUCAGAAAUGAUACGACUGAGCAGCCUUGGCGGAGUACUGUGCUUUCUGAGUGUUUUUCUUGUUCCAUAUGUGUUCAUUCAUAGUUUAGAUGCCUUCAGUGAGAAUCUACAAUGUAGUCAUGAAAAUAAAGAAAAACCAUUAAAUGAGAAGGUGAGUCCAAACUUUUGACUGCGAGUGUAUGUUCAGUCUUAGCACCAGACAGCACAGGUUUCUUGUUGAAACGCUGCCAAAAUUACUGCCAGCUGUUGUCAAGUGGUCCGACUAGAUCCUACAUGUUCUUUGUUCUGUUUCUCAAAGACGUAUGGAGGGCUUUGAAAGAAAUCAGCAUUUAAUUGCAGUGCUGGAUACACCAGCAUCAGAAUAAGAGUUAAUAACAGUAACUGAUGAAGGGUUUUAUCCCUAAUCAACCACUUAUUGCCUUAAUUCCAACAAAUACAAUCUAAUCCCUCGGAGCGGUGGGGCAGUGUGAACCGAGGAGGCAGAGAGUGCAUCCGUCACUUCCUCCGUCAUAAUCCACCCUCGACAUGUUUGAGGUUAAAGUGGAUUUAAACUCAAAUAACAUUCACUGCCGUUCCUCUCCAUCCCCGAAGUCUGUGCAUCGCCAUUAGGGUAAUGGCAGCCGGGGUUCAUAUGCACGCUAAAAAAUGGAUUUAGGAUCCAUUAGCUUAUUAGGCGCAAAAUGACAUUAUCUUUCCCUUCAAUGUGAACCUCGGCGGCAGCCAUUCAGAGAUAAAUUACGCCGUGGCAACACCCCCUGAUCUGUCAAUCAAUCCUCUUAUCAGUUGGUCUCCCACAGGGAUCCCAAUCAGCCAUUCACUGCAUGCUCUAAAUGAAUGUAAGUGCAGUGGCUGAUCCAUGCAGCAUGUUUGUGGAAGGAUUAAUCCAGACGAGGGAGAUACUGUGAAGUCAAGAGAUAAAAAAAAAGUCUUGUAGGCGCAAACAGCACAAGUGAGACAAAAAAAUACACAAAACGGCAACAACAAUACACAGAACAACGAAUGAAGCAAACAUAAAAUGACAAAAAAUGCAAUCAAAAACACAAAAAGGAAACACAACAUGACAAAAACGAGAAACAAAACGACAAAACAUGAGACAAACGACAAGUCAGACAAAAAAAGUUAGAAAACAACAAAAACAAGACAAAAAAACACAAAAAUGAGACACAAAACGACAAUAACGAGAAACAAAAUAAGACAAACGACAUGAAACAAAGCAAAAAAGAGACAAAAAAUUAGACAAAAAAGUAAAAAAGCGACAGCAAAAUGGACAAAUGACAAAAAUUUGAAAAAAAUGACAAAAGCGAGAAACAAAAUGACAAAAAAAUAGACUAAUACCACAAGUGAGACAAAAAGAAAACAUAAAACGACAAAAAUGAUACACAAAACAACAAAUGCAGCAAACAAAAUUACAAAAAAUAAGAUCAAAAACACAAAAAGGAAUCACAAAAUGACAAAAGCGAGAAACAAAACACCAAAAACUUGAGAUAAAUGACAAAAGUCAGACAAAAAAGGACACAAAACAGCAAAAACAAGACAAAAUAUUACAAAAAUGAGACACAAAACGACGAGAAACAAAAUAAGACAAAAGACAUGAAACAAAACAAAAAAAGACAAAAAAUUAGACAAAAAAGUAAGAAAGCGACAACAAAAUGGACAAAUGACAAAAAUUUGAAAAAAAUGACAAAAGCGAGAAACAAAACAACAAAAAAAUAGACUAAUACCACAAGUGAGACAAAAAGAAAACAUAAAACGACAAAAACGAUACACAAAACAACAAAUAAAGCAAAACACAAAAUGACAAAAAUAAGACAAAAAACAAAAGCAAGACAAAAAGGAAAUGCAAAAUGACAAAAACAAGAAACAAAACAACAACAGCAAGAAACAAAAUGAGACAAACGACAUGAAACAAAACAAAAAAGACAAAAAAUUUGAGUAAAAAGUUAGAAAGCAGCAAAAAAAUGGACAAACGUCAAAAAUUUGACAAAAAAUGACAAAAGCAAGAAGCAAAAUGACAAAAAAAUAGACUAACAACACAAGUGAGACAAAAAGGAAACACAAAAUGACAAAAACGAGAAACAAAAUGACAAAAACAUGAGACAAACGAAAAAAAGACGAAAAAAAACAAGACAAAAUACUACAAAAAAUGAGACAAAAGAACAAUGAACAAUCUACUAUUUUACAACUUGUCAUGGUCUAGAAAUUAUUUUAAACUUAUAGUUUGACAAAGUCACAAUUUGGAAUUAAUGUCUUCUCUGUAAUUUUUACACUUUAUAAAGUCGUCCCUUGGGCCGGAUUAGACCCUCAGAGGGCCGGUUUUGGCCCGCGGGCCGCAUGUUUGACACCUCUGGACUAAUCAAUUAACAACCUCUCUGGAGUUACCAGGAGACAGAUUCCAUCCAUCCAUUAUCUAUACACCACUUAAUCCUCACUAGGGUCAUGGGGGGGCUGGAGUCUAUCCCAGCUGACUCAGGUGAAGGCAGGGGACACCCUGGACAGGUCACCAGUCUGUCACAGGGCUACAUACAAAGACAAACAAUCACUCUCACAUUCACACCUACGGGCAAUUUAGAAUGAUCAAUUAACCUCAGCAUAUUUUUGGACUGUGGGAGGAAGCCGGAGUACCCGGAGAAAACCCACGCAUGCACAGGGAGAACAUGCAAACUCCAUGCAGAAAGAUCCCGGGAAAGCCGGGACGCGAACCAGGGAUCUUCUAGCUGCAAGGCGAAAGUGCUAACCACUACACCACUGUACAGCCCCAGGAGACAGAUUAACUCCUUUUAUUAGUGGGGGGGAGUCAACAAGCCUUUGCAGAGCUAACAAGCCUCCAACCAGCCGGUUCACUAAAACACUGGGACGCCGUCAACAAGGCGACAUUUAUAGCAUCAAAACAGAGCAGAGCUCAUAUUUUAUGCUACAUAAUAAACAUGCACGAUGCAUUUAUGUGCUUCCAGCUUCCCGUCCUUGACAUUUCACAACCUUGGCUGUUGUUUCCCCGCAGAUUUGUUUGAAUCUAUACAUCGCGAAGCCGCCGGAACUUCCAGUGUGGCCUCGGGAAGGACGAAUAAGGAAUGAAACGGUCUCUGAAGGGUUAGCCGCGCUCCAAAUUGGAAUCUCUCCCUUCUCCUUGCUUCAUUAUCGCAAACUCGCUCUUUGUGUCUGCUCGGAGGCUAAUUAAGGAGGGGGUGGGGAGGACGGAGGGAGCCAGAGAACAAGACCCCACUGAUGGAAAUCAAAUGAGAAGGACAGGAACGGGAGAAUAGAGGAAUAAUCGGUCGUCUGAUGAACGCUCACUGUGCCCUUGAUGAAUGGCGCCGGUGCCUUCCGAAAAUGGAUGAGAGGAGUGAGACGAGAGCCAGGGACAGACUGGACUCCAGAAAAUAAAAAAAAUAGAGAAAAAAGAGGACUAGGAAGAACCAAGAGUAAGUAGAAUCAGCUUAAUUUAGUGGCUGGAAUCUUAAUAGGAGCCCCCUACUCGCUCCCAGACAGACCACAGAGCACAAAUUGACUUGCCAGGAUUCAUUCCUUUUCCUUUCUCUCACGGCUGCAGCCGGUCGGUCGACUUUCCAGUUUACACAAGAAAUUCACUGCAGCUGGAGCUUUAGCUGCAGCUAACAGCUGUUUUCUCUAUUGCUAAGUUCAUAAACAACAUCCCUGAGUUUUAAAAAUUCAAAAAACUAUUUCUUUCUUCAAGGUGGUGCAACCAAUUUACGUUUUUUACGUUUCCUUUUCCUAUAAUUGCAACAAACCGGUGUUUUAUACAUUGAUCAACCUUCUGAUUAUUUUCUAAUUACAUUAAUAAAACACUUCAUCUUUAAAAAUUCCAGAAACUACUUAUUUUUUAAGGUGACAUAAUUAAUUUAAAGAUGUAUUUUUUGAGUGGGGGAAUAAUUUGGCUUUCUUCAAUGAAAAAAAAACUGAAAAAAAAACUUAAUUAUGAAAAACUUGACUAAUUAAUUAAUCAAUGUCGAGGUCCAAGGCGUCGUCUUCAAACUGCAAAAUCCAAAGAUGUUCGGUUUAUUCUUACUAAAACAUACAGUUAAAAGCAUUAAAUCACACCUGAGAAGCAAAAAGUUGGUCAUUUUGGGUGUUUUUGGUUCAAAAAUGACUUUGGAGUAAUCAAUAAUCAAAGUAAUGGAUCAUACAUUUCCUGUCAACUGACAAAGGAGCAAUAAUUCAUCAUUUUUCCGCCCCUCAUGGUUGAGCAGCACAAGCAGGGAGCAUUUUGUUCCUCUCCUCCUCUCUACCUUCUCUGGGAGGUCAAUCAAUCACUUUGAGUUUCCUUUAAAUCCUUUGUGACAAGUGACCUUGCAAAAUGGCUUUUGUCAACAUCUCUGCAUUGUAAUUCAUGCUAAACGGCCGAGCUAUGACGGUGCCAGUGCAGCAUCAUUCAAAUUGGUCAACUAAUCUAAUACAAAAGUCCACUUUAUUAAAUAAACCAUGUCUCAUGCCAUGUCUGAAUGGAAUAAAUUCUCUCCAGCUAAAGCAAAGUCACAUCAUAAGGAAAAGAGCUGUUUUUCUUCCAGGACAGUGCUUUAAAUGCACAGAUUUUUAUUUAUUUUUUUUUUAGUGUCCAGUCAGUCCAGCAUGAGGCAGUCGUAUAUUUACCUUCCAUCCCUCAGGCUGUAAAUUUUACAGCAUGUUUCCGUUUGAUUAACAGUAGGCCUGUUGCUGCUCUUCUAAGCAUUCCUAGACAUGAUAAAACCCCAGUCGGGCCAAAGGACGGGAAGUUUCACGAUCUCAAUUUACUCAGUCGCUGAUUUUUAUAAUAAAAAAAGAAGUACGUGUGAGACAAAAGGAUCAGCCACAACAUUUAUACCACCUGCUUUUUGUGUAGCAUCUCUGUGGUAUCAAAAAACAAGAUGUUACCAGCAGCUUCCAUGCAUCAAAGUCAGGUCAAUUUGUGUUAAUUUGACAGAAUUCAGCAAAUCUGUUGCAGCACUGUCUCCAAUUUUUAGUUUUUUUGGUAUUUAAGACCCAACUGUGUGCCUCAAAAGACUGUAUUUUUAGUAGAAACAAGAAAAGCAAUCAGAAAGUGCAGUACUCCGUCAAGGCCGCUCAGUCGAAUCAUUUCCGACGGAUGAAAUCUUGAACAAAUUUGCGGCAGAAAUCAUGGCACGUAGCAGGCAGCGGGAAUUGAUGGGACUCAGAAACACCCCCACAAUUUAAUCAACUGUUCCUUGUAUCAUUUCCGGCAGAUAAAACCCGAUAAGUCAGCAGUGGUGGAUUUGUAGUAGGAUCACAAUCAUGUGAUCAUCAGCAGGCAGCUGAUGUAGUGUUCACUUGUUGUCAUAGUUACAGUGACACCAUGCUGCUAUCUGGCAAUGAUACAGAAAUCUUUAACAAAUCCGUGGAUCCAGACUAUAAGCUGCAUCACUGCCAGAAUCUAAUCACUUGGUCCUUGUGUCAUUUCUGACCUUCCCUGAAAAUUUCAUCCAAAUCUGUGAAUCUGUUUCUGGGUAAUGUUGCAAACAAACAGACAGACAGACAGACAGAAAAACAAACGUAUGCCAAUCGCCACAUAACUCCACGGCAUUCCUUGGUGGACUAAAUAUGGAUAGAACUACAUUUCUAUACACUUAUAGAAACUUUCUUGGGCCCCAGUGUCACCCUUGUUUGGAAAUUUGGCACUUUUUUCCAUUUUCAAGGGCGAAUAAAUAAAAAAUUUGGCCUCUGCUGAAGCCGUUUAAAUAAUUUUGAUUUGCUGGAAACUCUUCUGUCUGUGUCCUCACCAAAUUUUAUGGCUGCGGGAGUUUUAAGGAGAAAUUUAACACAUUACAGUUGCUCCCAUUCAAAGUUUUGGAAAUAUUAGGUAAGCAUAAGUAGAAAAAUAUCCUCUAAAAAAUUAAACGUAAGUAGAAAAAAUUAUGUAAAACUGUACACUGUUCUAAGAGAAAUAAAAACGUACACUACCAUUCAAAAGUUUGGGGUCAAUUAGAAAUGUUCUUAUUUUUGAAAGAAAAGCAUUUUUUUCCAAUGAAUAUAACAUUAAAUGAAUGAUAAAUCCAGUGUAGACAUUGUUAAUGUGUUAAAUGACUAUUGUAGCUGGAAACAGCUGAUUUUUAAUGGAAUAUCUCCAUAGAGGUACAGAGGAACAUUUCCAGCAACCAUCACUCCUGUGUUCUAAUGCUACAUUGUGUUAGCUAAUGGUGUUGAAAGGCUCAUUAAUGAUUAGAAAACCCUUGUGCAGUUAUGUUAGCACAUGGAUAAAAGUGUGAGUUUUCAUGGAAAAUAUAAAAAUUGUCUGGGUGACCCUAAACUUUUGAACAGUAGUGUAUGUGUAUAGUCUUUUUCUGAGGGUAGAAAUGUUUUUGCAUUCAAGGUCUUAAAACCUAGUUCUCGAAAUUAAUCCAAAGCAUUUUUAAAAACUUAACAAAUAAGUAAAUUCUGAAUAGUGCAGCAGCACCUCAAUCUAAAAUGGCAUAAAAUGAACCAGGAGUGAGAAUUACAGUCUUUUAAGUUGCAAAAAGAAGUGUGAUGCAUUCACUAAAAGCUGCAAGGGACACUGAGACAAUGGAUUAUUUAAUUUAGUAAAUUUUUAUAGUAACAAUAUCAAAGCAUUUGGCAGGUUCAGCUUCUCAUGGGUUAAUAUUUGCAGACUGGAAAAUUAUGCAUUUUUCUCAUUUUUUUUAACCCUCCAGUUGUCUUCACUUAUGGUCACCCAAAAAAAUACUGUUUCCUUGUCUGAAAAAAAUCCAAAAAUUCAGAAAAAAAAUUCCCCAAAUUUCUGAAAAUUUGCAAAACCUUCAGGAAGAAAUAAUUCCUUAAAAGUUUCCCUUAAAAGUUUUUUUUUUUUUUUUUUUUUAAAUCCCCCAAGUUUGGCAAGAAAAUUCUUGUAAAUAUUUUCAAAAAAAUGAGUAAAAAUCUUCAAAAAAAUCAUAAAAAUAUCUAAAGUGACUACAGAUAUAUCCGUUAAACUUCUAAUAUUUUCUUUGAGAACAUUCACAUAAAAAUCAAGCAAAAUCCAGCGAAAUUUGCUGGAUUUUGGUUGAUUUUUUUUUGUGAAUGUUCUUUAGAAACAUUUUUAACAUUUUUUUUUCCCACCAAAAAAUAUUCCAAGAUUUCCCAAAAAUGUUGAAAAUGUGGACAUCAGAAGUUUCACUGUGAACAUCUAUUUUUUCUUUUCUUUUCCUGAGGGAAAUCUGCAGCGUUUGGAGGCCGAGUCGACGCCUUGAACUCCUUUUCAUGGUUCCUACAGCGUUCCUGAACACUUUGUGCAGCGUGGCAGCGAGCAUUGUCGUGCUGAAAGAGGUCGCUGCCGUCAGGAUGUAGUCGUGUCGGGGUGGACGUGGUCUGCAGCGAUGUUCAGGUUGUGUCACGUUAACAUCCACAUGAAUGCAGGACCUGAGGUUUCCCGGUUGCUCGGAGCAUCACGCUGCCUCUGCCUGCUUUUUUUCCUUCUUUUUCUACAUCCUGCUGCCAUCUCUCCCUCUAGUAAACAACACAACGUCCAGCUUUCUACACCAUGUGGAGGAAAACAUGCUCCGUGUUCCAGCUGUGACACUCGUGUGGGCAGACUGACCACGCUGUAGGUUCGCCACGAGCUGCCGUGAACCACGUGUUCUCAUGACUGAAUACAGCCAGAAAGGAGGUUUACAGGAAUCUGUGCUGCAGCGGCUUCUUGGAAACAAAUCACACGGACAACACUUCACUCCCAGCAUGCAUCAGUGAGCUCUGGGCGACCGUGACCCUACUAACCACCACAGAAGACCUGCCAUGUGGGAGAUAUUCUGAUGGUCAGGAGCCUCUGUAGCCAGAUAAUCAUGUUUUUAACUGGCUUUUAACUGGUUUUAAUGUUGUGGCUGAAUGUUAGGAUCCACAGCAGCCAUGUGUUGUGUUGGGAGGUGUACUGAGGGAAGCAGAAAAGGGUAAUUUGUCACCAAGGCAGACAGAAAAAGAGAGAAACUGCAACAAAAAAAGAGGAGAAUAAAAACAAAACAGUGGCUUUUGUCCAUGACAACAAAUGUUCCCUCUUCAGAGACAAACCUGGCGAGCGGCUACAGUUUGUUUACUGUACUUGUACAAUCACACUAUCAAUAGAUAUCCUUUGUAGGUAUUAUUCUAAUCUAUCUGAAAACACAGGCGGUACAGAAACACACCACGUCUGAUGAAUAGACUGCUGUCACGCCAACACAAAGAGCUCUCACACUCUGUAGGGUAAACGUGGAUUUUUAAUGUGACGGCAAGACAAUCCACGCUGUCACACGACGCAUAAAGCAGCCGAAAGGAGGAAAUGUGUAAAAUGAACACAUUUUAACGUUUACAAGACGGUUACGCAACGCAGAGAAGUUUAAAAAUAACACCUCGGGUCCGGGAUCGCUCUUUAAAGACACAUUUCAAAGUUAGAAAAGUAGCUGGAAUGAAGAGAACGUGCAGCUCAGGUUAAAAAUAGAAACCUAAUUGUCCCAAGAGAAGGAAAAAAAACAAAUAAAAUGUGACAAAAAAAGCAUCUACACCAAUAAAACAAACACUAAAGACAGCUUUAUCCAGGAAGGACAGAACAUUCAGGCUCUAAACUUUAAAGUGACCUCCUACAGAAACAUCUUUUUGUCUCCUCAACGUUGAAAUAUAUUCAAAUUAUGCAGAUUAUCUUUGUUUCCAAAUAGGAUGAAGAAAAUUUUAAAAAGGAGCUGUUGUGCAGUUUCUUGCCAAAUCGUCGGCAUGUCGUGUGAUUCAUAUUAAUUUGGCAGGUGGACAGUUUCCUCUCCUCAGCGGCAUAUCUUUAUGUAAUCUCUACGAUCCUGGAGCUUACGUAAAUGUAACUGCACAGUAGUAAACAGAUAAUCCCCCCCCCCUCGAAGGAGAAAAGUUACAGCGUUUACUGUUUGCUCCAGCGCCUAAAACAAUCUAUUUACCUGUCAAGAACCCGCCACUCUGUACUGUUGAAAACAAAAGCAGAAACAGCGCAUUGUUGUCAGUCCCUCAAAAACUCUUACGCUCUUUCAGUGGUUUUUUUUUCCCCAUAACGAUCCAGCAAAUUGCUCGAUGGAAUUGUACAAAUCUGCCAAAACACAGACAAACAUUUAUUUCUUUACUCGGUCUGUGCACUGCAUCUAUAUGACUCAGCAGAAGACAUUUAAUGUGACUAAAAUGCAGAGAUUUUUUUUGCCAAACUUUGCUCUAAUAGUUAAUAAAACUGUCCGGCAGUGACAGAUAUGAAUGUUUGAGCAUCAAAUCCAGUAAACAGUGACAGAUUUUGCAGAGUGAACUGAUAAAGUGGCAUCAUAAAUGAUUUGAAAGCAUAAAUUAAGCUUUUGUUGAGGGAAGAAGUUAAAAAUUGCCAUCUUUUGCCAUUUACUGAACACAGGUAUUUAUUUAAUUUCAUAUCAUAGAUAGUAAAACUGUCAGCAAUGAGGAAUAAGUAUUUCUGUCAAUUAUGAGCAUAAAAUGAAAUCAGUACAACUAUAUUUUGCAGGAAGUGGAUUGGAUAAAAAAAUGGCAUUUAAAUUAUAAAUAAUUAGAACCCAUGAAUUAACCUUUGGUUGUUGGAAAAAAGUUUAAAUUUGACAUCUUUUGCCACUUGCCUUACACUAAUUUUCAUUAUCAGCAAUGACCAACAUCAAGUUUUUAGGUUGAUAAUAAGGACCAAAUCAUUCGAGUAGACUGAAAAAAAUAGCAUUUUACUUUAUAAAAUGAUUAGAAACCUUAAAUAAAUCUGUUUAUUAACACAGGUUUUCAUUUAAUUUCAAAUCAGAGUUAGUAAAACUGUCAGCAGUGAGGAAUAUUAAGUAUUUCCAUCAAUUAUGAGCAUAAAAUGAAGUCAGUACAACUACAUUUUGCAGGAAGCGGAUUGAAAAAAAUGGCAUUUUACAUUAUAAAAAUAUCAGAAAACAUAAAUAAAUCUGUUUUUUUUUUAACACAGGUUUUUUAUUUUAUUUCAUAUCAUAGUUGUUAAAACUGUCAGCAAUGACGGAUAUCAAGUGUUUAUGUUAAUUGUGAGCAUAAAAUGAAGUCAAUAUGUCUUAAUUUUGCAGAAAAAAUGGCAUUUUACAUUAUAAAUGAUUAGGAACCAAAACUGAACCUUGAAACCUGGAAAGAACAUUUUACAAAAUUGCCAUCUUUAGCCAAAAUCAAGCAGAAUAAUGUAGUUUAAAGUAGGACUAAGGUGUUAAUCCCAUAAGGAUAGGGUUAGACACUAGAAGUUGCCAUUUAUUUACAAUUCCCCAUUAAGAAUCAACAUAUUUCCUAUUUAAACUUGAUUACAACCCUCUCCCAACCUUUGACAAGUACUUUGCUUGAUAUUUAAGUUAGUAAAACUGUCCCGCAGUGACAAAAAUCUAUAUUUAUGUUGAUUAUGAGCAUGAAAUCAGGUCAGUACAGGUAGAUUUUGCAGAGCAUGGACUAAAAACAAGUACUUUAUGAAUAAUUCCAAAGUUUAAAUUAACUUUUCAUUGUGGGAAAAAAAAGCUAAAAAUUGGUAUCUUUUGCCAUUUCUUUCACACAGGUAUUAAUUUCAUUGUUAGCAAAACUGUCCAGCAAUGACGAAUAUCAAGUAUUUAUGUCAACUGUAAGCUUCAAAUUUAAUAAAUACUAAUAGAUUUCUCAGGAAGUGAACUGAAAAAAAUCGCAUUUUACAUGAUAAAUGAUUACAAAAGAUAAAUAAACCUUUAAACUUGGAAAAAACCUUUUAAAAAUGCCAUCUUUUGCCAAAAUCAAGCAGAAUAAUGUAGUUUAAAGUAGGAUUUAGGUGUUAAUCUCGUAAGGAUAGGGUUAGAUACAAGAAGCUGCCAUUCAUUUACAAUUCCCCAUUAAGAAUCAACAUACUUCCUAUUUAACUUUGAUUACAAUCCUCUCGUGACCUUCGACAAGUACUUUUGUCAAACUUUGUUCGAAAUAUAAGUUGAUAAAACUGUCCAGCAAUGACCAAUAUCAAGUAUUUAUGUCAACUGUGAGUUUUAAAUCAAAUAAAUACCAGUAGAUUUUGCAUGGAGUGGACUGGAAAAAUGGCAUUUUACAUUAUAAAUGAUUAGAAACCAGACGUUUACCUUGAAAAUUGGAAAAAUAUUGCCCUCUUCAAGCAGAAUAAUGUGGUUUAAUGUAGAACUUAAGUGUUAAAGUUGCCAUUUGUUUACCAUUUCCCUUAAAGAACGAAUAUAUUUCUUAUUUAACCUUGAUUCCAUACCUCUCCUAACCUCCAACCAUAAUCACAACUGUUCCUUUAAUCCUAAUGAAGCAGUGUUUAUGUGUGAACCUAAGCUAACCUCAUCUGACAGGAAACACUCCUGUGGAUUGUGUUGCAAAGCAAAAUGUAUUUUUCUCAUUUGGUUUGCAGGUCAAGCAGCCCAAGGACGGAGACCAGAGUGUCCCAAUUCUGAGCUUUUAAAAUGAACAAGCGAGUUAGCAUUUGUCUGGCCAAUGAGCUGAGACUACUUUACCUUGGGUGGCCCAGACAGGUGCUCACGGUGCUUUUAGCCGCACUGAGGCAUACAAAAAACCCUCCACUGGGAUGAGACUGCAAUUUGUUGCAACAUCACUUUAAAACUGAGCAAACAGCUACUUUGCCGAUGCUGUCCAUUUAUUUUCUAUCCUAACCAGACCUCCCACUUCUGCAGCAGCUUCUGCAGCAGCUCCUGCAGCGCUUCCAGGGUUAAACUGAGGUGUUUCCAAGCCAGUAGAGAGACAUAAUCUCUGUAGAUCUGCCCUGAGGUCUCCACUUAACGUAGGAAUCAUCUGGGAGGCUUCUUAGAUUCCCAGACCACUUCAGUUGUCUCUCUUGGAUGUGCAGCAGCAGCGAUUCUACUCUGACACCCUGCUGAAAAACCCGACUCUUAUUCUUUCGGUCACUAUUUACAGUUUGCGGCUCUAAGUGGGGGUAGGAGAAGGAGAUUAUCAUGAUUUUAAACAAUCAAAUCAGGAAUAACGCAUCACAAAUCCCAAAUCUAAAUCACUGGAUGUACAUGUCCGAUAAUAAAUUUAUUUAUGUUUCUUCAUCAACAGGAAGGAUCGAUGAUGUGUCAUUUGUUUGUGGCUCCAAUGAUGUUCGAAUCAUACUCUUCUUUAAAAGCACAUCUAAUUACACAUUUUUAGAGAUUUGCUUUAUGCAAUUUUAUGUGAGAUUUGGAUUACUAUCGUUUAAUUUUAGCCUGCAGUUGAUUUUCUGAAUUUAUUUAUUUCAUUGCUCAUUUUAUUCUCUUUUACUCUAUAUUUUUUUACUUAUUUAUGAAAUUAUUUUAUUUAUUUUCUAUUACUAUUAUUAUUAUUAUUAUUAUUAUAAGUAGUAGUAGUAUCAUUAUUUUUUGCCUUGUGUUUAUGGUUUUACUUUGUACUUUCUUUAAUUACACUUGUUUUUUCCCUUA